AAUCCAGCUUUUGUAUUGGAUCCCAGGCUUCCCAUGGAUGCUUGUGAUUCUAGCUAGCUGUAGCUGUUCUAUCUUGUUUUACAGCAUGAUGCUGUCUCAUUUGACGCAAUAAAGUAAAAUAAUGAAGUUCAUAAUCAUUUGUCUAAAUAUGUCAUCUGCCACAGCUGCUGGAAAGGCGUUCAAAUGGAUGGCAACAAAGCAGAUGACAAUGUCCAGCUGCCUUCCACUCAACCUUUGACCUUAAUGACUGAGCAUCAGUACAGAGGAAUUGAAGGAUGCAGGGGCCCACUUUGAUAAUGCACUCAGAGCCAGUGAAAAACAAGGUACGGGGCUGAAAAUGGCCCCCGGGCCACACUUUGGAAGCCCCUGGUCUUGGACGCUGAUGGUGGAACAAGUAACCUCCCUCGACAACAAUAGCAAGGACGUCUACGUGUGGAGAUGUCAUGGGAACCAACACAGGUCGUGGAUGCUUUGAUGACCAAAGUGUUGGGCUCCCCCUGCCGGUGAGAACAGGUACGACAACCCCUUCAGAAGCAUCCUUGCUUGCUUUUUGUUUGUCAUCACGGAACAAUGCUAAAAACUCGGGUGUAUAAUCGUGCAUUUUCUCCCAGUUUUAUCCCUGUGUAAAUGUGGCUUUUUCCCUGUUGAGCAAGUCUUGGCUGCGUGUGGAGACGAGGCUUAGACGAGGUGAACAAAAGGAUGACUGCGGGGGUCACUGUCCUCCCGCCAGCCCUUCUUGUCGUGUCAUUCAGGAGCUGACCUGCUGCCUCUGCUUGCCCUGUUAAAGCUGCUUUUCUCCUCAAGUGGCCUCUCUCGCUCUCUCCUGCUCUCUCCCGCUCUGUCUCGCUCUGUCUCGCUCUGUCUCGCUCUCUGCUAUUCUGUCCCCACUGAAAUAAAGAUUCCCAUCCGGGCCCGGCAGAGUUAAAGCCAUCUAUAAAAAGGAAAAUAUUUUUGCUCAGUCCGAGUCAUAGAAUCACUUUCCAACAUCCACAGUGGGCAGGCAGAGUUUUUUUUCUUUGUGUGCAUGUGUGUGUUGUUGUUUUUUUUCCCCUGCAGUUAUUCUUUCUUCCUCGACUUAAUGACCAUUGAGGAGGAGAAGCCCAGACUCUUCAGGCCUGCAGACUGAUUGGGAAUACCAGCAGAGGAGAUGCUAAUUAGCUCAGCAUGAGCGCUUGCGUGGCUGUAGGGAACCUCCAGUGGAUGUCAUUUGUCAUUGGGGGCUUGUUGAAGGGUUAGGGAAUGAAAAUGUGUCUUACCACAAA